rnacentral:lncRNA from 1 species
GUAUUCUGUUGCUGAUGCUCAAAUCUAUGGUUCCAGAUUUCUUUCCUAGGGUUUCUAUCUCCAGUGUUGCCUCACUUUGAGUUUUCUUUAUUGUGUCUACUUCCCUUUUUAGGUCUAGUAUGGUUUUGUUCAUUUCCAUCACCUGUUUGUAUGUUUUUUCCUCUUUUUCUGUAAGGACUUCUACCUGUUUGAUUGUGUUUUCCUGUUUUUCUUUAAGGACUUGUAACUCUUUAGCAGUGUUCUCCUGUAUUUCUUUAAGUGAUUUAUUAAAGUCCUUCUUGAUGUCCUCUACCAUCAUCAUGAGAUAUGCUUUUAAAUCUAGGUCUAGGUUUUCGGGUGUGUUGGGGUGCGCUGGACUGGGCGAAGUGGGAGUGCUUGGUUCUGAUGAUGAAAGUAGAUCAUUCGGAGAGACAUAGAAGAUCAAUGGUAGUCCAGACACGAGACAAGUCAUGGUGCUGCUCUAGAGUUCUAUCCAUCUUGCACUCUGGGGACUAUAUUUCACUUUUCAUUACUUCCUGAUCAAACUGAACCUUGGUGUUCUGCUUGUUCCACCUGUGCCCUGCUGUGAAUUCAUCUCCUUCAGGAAGACAAGAAGCAAAACUCCUGCCAAGCUUGGGAUCUGGUGGAAGAGAAGAGGAAGUGUUCUCAUGCAUUUCAGUAAGACUUUCAUCUCAGGACAUAAGUCACGAAAUAAAAGAGACAUGAUUC